rnacentral:tRNA from 1 species
GGUCUUAUAUUCAAAUGUAAUGAUAUUAAAUUGCAAAUUUAAUGGUGUAGAAUUUACUAAGACUU